AGAGUUUGAUCCUGGCUCAGGAUGAACGCUAGCUACAGGCUUAACACAUGCAAGUCGAGGGGCAGCAUGGGAGUAGCUUGCUACUCUUGAUGGCGACCGGCGCACGGGUGCGUAACGCGUAUCGAACCUGGCCCAUACACGGGGAUAGUCUCCUGAAAGGGAGGUUAAUACCCGGCGGUCCCGCAGUGUCGCAUGACGCGGCGGGUGAAGAUUCAUCGGUAUGGGAUGGCGGUGCGUAGGAUUAGCUAGUCGGCGGGGUAACGGCCCACCGAGGCUACGAUCCUUAGGGGUUCUGAGAGGAAGGUCCCCCACACUGGUACUGAGACACGGACCAGACUCCUACGGGAGGCAGCAGUGAGGAAUAUUGGUCAAUGGCCGAGAGGCUGAACCAGCCAAGUAGCGUGCAGGAAGACGGCCCUCUGGGUUGUAAACUGCUUUUAUAGGGGAAUAAAGUGCUUCACGCGUGGAGUUUUGUAUGUACCCUAUGAAUAAUGACCGGCUAAUUCCGUGCCAGCAGCCGCGGUAAUACGGAAGGUCAGGGCGUUAUCCGGAUUUAUUGGGUUUAAAGGGAGCGCAGGCGGGCAGUUAAGCCGGCUGUGAAAGUGCGGGGCCCAACCCCGUAUUGCGGUCGGAACUGACGGUCUUGAGUGCGCGCAGGGACGCUGGAAUUCACGGUGUAGCGGUGAAAUGCUUAGAUAUCGUGAAGAACUCCGAUGGCGAAGGCAGGUGUCCGGAGCGCAACUGACGCUGAGGCUCGAAAGCGCGGGUAUCGAACAGGAUUAGAUACCCUGRUAGUCCGCACUGUAAACGAUGUACACCCGCGGUCGGSCYUUUUUUKKUCGGUCGCCAAGCGAAAGCGUUAAGUGUACCACCUGGGGAGUACGCCGGCAACGGUGAAACUCAAAGGAAUUGACGGGGGCCCGCACAAGCGGAGGAACAUGUGGUUUAAUUCGAUGAUACGCGAGGAACCUUACCCGGGCUUGAACUGCUGGGGAAUUAGCCAGAGACGGCUAAGUCUUCGGACCCCAGCGGAGGUGCUGCAUGGUUGUCGUCAGCUCGUGCCGUGAGGUGUCGGCUUAAGUGCCAUAACGAGCGCAACCCUUGUCCAUGUUUGCCAUCAGGUUAUGCUGGGCACUCCAUGGAUACUGCCAUCGCAAGAUGAGAGGAAGGUGGGGAUGACGUCAAAUCAGCACGGCCCUUACGUCCGGGGCUACACACGUGUUACAAUGGGAGCUACAGAGGGUUGCCACCUGGUGACAGGGCGCGGAUCCCGAAAGGCUCUCUCAGUUCGGAUAGGAGUCUGCAACCCGACUCCUUGAAGCUGGAUUCGCUAGUAAUCGCGCAUCAGCCAUGGCGCGGUGAAUACGUUCCCGGGCCUUGUACACACCGCCCGUCAAGCCAUGAAAGCUCGGGGCGCCUGAAGUCCGUGACCGCGAGGGACGGCCUAGGGUGAAACGGGUGAUUGGGGCUAAGUCGUAACAAGGUAACCGUA
rnacentral:rRNA from 1 species